GAUCCUGGCUCAGGAUGAACGCUGGCGACGUGCUUAACACAUGUAAGUCGAACGAAGCACUCUAUUUGAUUUUCUUCGGAAAUGAAGAUUUUGUGACUGAGUGGCGGACGGGUGAGUAACGCGUGGGUAACCUGCCUCAUACAGGGGGAUAACAGUUGGAAACGACUGCUAAUACCGCAUAAGCGCACAGGAUUGCAUGAUCCGGUGUGAAAAACUCCGGUGGUAUGAGAUGGACCCGCG
rnacentral:rRNA from 1 species